CCUACGGGAGGCAGCAGUGGGGAAUAUUGCGCAAUGGCCGGAAGACUGACGCAGCGAAGCCGCGUGAAUGACGAAGGUCUUCGGCUCGUAAAGCUCUUUCGGCAGGGAAGAAAAAGCAUGUUAGUAACCGUGUAUGUAUUGACGGUACCUGUAUAAGCAGCCUCGGUCAUUUCCGUGCCACCAGCUGCGGGAAUACGGAGGGGGCGUGCGGUGUUCGGAGUGGUUGGGCGUAUAGGGCACGUAGGCGGUGUUGUAAGUCAUGAGUCAAAGACGAGGGCACAACUUUAGUAAGGCGAGUGAUACUGGAAGACUUGAGUAUCAGAGAGGAAUGCGGAAUGCCUGGUGUAGCGGUGAAAUGCGUAGAUAUCAGGAGGAAUACCGUUAGCGAAGGCGGCAAGCUGGCGGGAAACUGACGCUGAGGUACGAAAGCGUGGGUAGCAAACAGGAUUAGAUACCCCGGUAGUC
rnacentral:rRNA from 1 species